ACACAGGAAGGGGAACAUCACACUCUGGGGACUGUUGUGGGGUGGGGGGAGGGGGGAGGGAUAGCAUUAGGAGAUAUACCUAAUGCUAAAUGACAAGUUAAUGGGUGCAGCACACCAGCAUGGCACAUGUAUACAUAUGUAACUAACCUGCACAUUGUGCACAUGUACCCUAAAACUUAAAGUAUAAUAAUAAUAAAAUAAAAUAAAAUAAGUUUUAAAUGUAAAAAAAAAAACAGAAAAUGUGUUUUAAUUCUGUGAGUCCUUCCCGAGUACACUUGACACUGUGAUGUGAGCUUUUCACGAAUGCGCCCUUCACCAUGUCUCCUGUUAGCUCAUCCUGGUCUCCAUAAAGCUGCAUAGUUAGGAAGGUAAUCUUCUUGGUUCUCCUGACUUCUGCGUGUCAGAGAGCUACUGUAAGUGAAAGCAGCCAAGAGAGUGUAAAAUACUUUAAAGAUGUGAGAUACUACUUUAUUGUUAAUCUGUGUUGUUAAAAAAAUUCUAAAUGAUGAUGAAUAUGCUUGUUCUCCUUCUCCAGGCAAGCAAGAUGAUAAUUUGAUUUUUGAGUUAACCUGAUGAGUUUUUGUAGCUGUCAAGAGCUCUAAAAUUGAGCCAAUGAAAGCAAAAUUCAAUAGACGAAAGCAAAAAAAUGAAGAAGACAGCAUUAAAGGAAAAGAUCAAGCUUUCUAGCAUCAUACUGGCUAUUAAUAAUGCCUUUGGCUUUGGGAUUGGGAUUUUUUGAUGUGACCAAACAGCCAUUUAUGUUCUCAGAAAACUGGAAUAGGAAUAUCCUAUGGUGGAAGAAAAGAAUGGACCAUGAUGAAAAUUUCUACACCAGAAGAGUUUAAAGAUGAAGAAAGCACCACAGAAGCAGUUCAUGUCUCACUAAGGCUAGACACUGAUGGAUCUAACGUCUCUCUUCGGAAUUUAUUGGCAUUUAACACCUAUUAUCGUCAACUCUGGAGUCCUCAGCUAAACUCUAAGAGAACAGGCAAGCUACAUAUUACCAAGUCUAGAAGCAUCCGUGUAUUAUAUCAGCCAUGAAUGAUCCAGUCUCUGACCUGUGAUCUUCUUUGUCCAAGAUCUUCUCUUCUCACAUGUUUUUUGGUAUCCUUCAUACCAGAGGACUCCCUUGAAGGAAACCUUGACCAGAUAUAGUACACCAAUAGACUUAUUUCUGAGAGUUAAAAAAAAAUUCUACAAAUCAGGUACUAAAAGGAAUGUAAGAGAAUUCCAAAUAUGGGAGGAAGAGCAGGUCGAGCAAGAAGUGGCAUCCACAUAGUAGUUACACUCUAUGACACAAAGCUAUUGAUAAUACCAUGAGAUUUUCUGAGAAAAUACUAUUUAUUUUUUCAUAUGUUUAUGUUCUGCAUCCCCAACAAGGUCAUAAACACUUAAAAAGCAUGAAUUUAUUCUAUCCUCCCACCAUCAGUUUCUAGUAUUAUGCCAAAACUACCAAAAUGACUUGUACCUAUUAAAACCUCAACAUUUUAGAUAUUUUAAGAAGAUAUCUUAUUCAAUUUCUCCUUUAGAUAGAUUUUAGAGACUUUAGAUGUUUCGUGGAUUCAAUUACAGAAAAGGAAGAGAAAAUGAAAAUGGCUGGUAAAUGUAAAAGUCAUUACUUAUUAAUGACAUUAGAGAAGAGGACUAUUUAUUCCCUGUGGCCAGAUGCAAAAAUAAAAUAAAUAAAAUAGUUAAAACCCAUUAGAUGCAUAGUAUGGGGACAUUUAUGGCAAUUAUACUGUUGUGCUAGUUACAGCCUAGCAGUACUCAAGUAAUCACAUCUAAAACAAACACAGCAUGUAAAUUUAUCUAGUUAGCACUGAAUAUAUUAAUUAAUGUGAUUUCAUUAAAGCUUAUUUUUGUAAAGG
ensembl:lincRNA